GCUUAUUACAAACUUGAUUGAAUGGGACUUGGAUUAAAAAGAGAGUAACAGAAUCACAAGCUCAAAAAUAUUGGAAACGAAGUUAUUAAUUAAACAGUGCGUAGUUUUAUCGAAGUUGUAAAAACACAAUUGAUUAAUUAAUGUACUCCACAUGCAAGUCACUUGAAGUAGAAGAGAUUAAAGUGAAAUUAGCUUAAUUCUUCAGUUAAAUAUCUCAAACAUUAAUUAACAAUGAAUUAAUUAAUUAGAUUUCAUUACUCAUCAUAGUCUUGCUUUGCAUCAUGGAGUUCUUGCAAUGAGCGAUUGCACCUUGAAUAGCACUCUGCAACUCCUCCAUGGAUGAUUUAUCUGCAUAGUGCAUACCACCAGCGAUCCUAUUACUUGUGGCUGAAUCCAUGAAUCCUUUUCUACAAAGGACGCCAGAGUGGCUGGGAGAUGACCUCAUGGACGAUGGGCAGCUUGAAACGUAGCUUCUCCUUCUUGGGUACCUCAGGUUUCCCGAGAAAGAGUGGGAAAAUUCUCGGUUGCUUUCUUUGCUUGGAUUCUUGACAGAGUAGUCAUCAGAUCUCUCCGAUUUGAUGGAAAAUGAGACGCUGCUAAUUGGUGCUGUUCUCAUUGGAUUUACACCUCCCAUUUUUUGCUGUUGUUUCUGGGAAAGUUUCUCGUACAAUGGCUUCACUUUCUUCAAGUACUUCCUUAUCACCUCCUUUGCUGUAGCGCUCAUUCUUUUCACUGAAGAACUAGAUAAAGCAUCGUUUUCGCGGUUCUUGGGCUCCUUCUUGAACACAGAAGAGAAUCUCGAUAGAGAGAAGUACUUAUUGCUCUUCUUGAUCUGGGAAUUCAAGUGAACAUGGGUUUGAAAAUGAGGAGGGUAGGCGUUGUUAAGCCGCUUGAACUCAUCGUCUUCGGUGACAGAACUGGGUCUUGAAGAGUCACACUCUCCAAGCAAGACAAGAUCGCUACUGAAGGAGCAGGUGGAGUCGUUGGAGCUGCCGGUAGAGUUGCGAGAGGCGGUGGUGGUGGUGUCAGAAGAGGAAGAUGUGCUUGAAGAGGCUAAGAGGAGUGUACGAACCAUGGAAAUGCGGGGGUAGAGAUGGAGAGGCAAGAGCUGACCCUUGUAGAAAAGCUCGUCUGCUGGGCACAGAGCUGUGGAAGAUUUGCGUGGAGACAGAGAGGUGCUGAACUCAAAAUCUGAGGAAGAGGAAGAGAAAGAGUGAGAAGGUGAUGAGGGUAGAGUUUGGGAUGAUCUCGAAUCUUUGUCUUUUCUUUUUCCCAUCUUUGUUUGCUACAUUAUCUGCAUAAUACGAU
rnacentral:misc_RNA from 1 species